CAAUAGCGUAUAUUAAUGUUGUUGCAGUUAAAAAGCUCGUAGUUGGAUUCCUGACCUGGGGUAGCCGGUCCGCCUUGCAAAAGGUGCGCACUGAGCGGCCUCGGUCAUCCUUGAGAAGAGCGGUCCUGGCAUUCAGUUGUCGGGGUCGGGAUUCUCGACGUUUACUGUGAAAAAAUCAAAGUGUUCAACGCAGGCUUACGCCUUGAAUACAUUAGCAUGGAAUAAUGAGAUAGGACCUUGGCGGUCUAUUUUGUUGGUUUGCACGCCGAGGUAAUGAUUAAAAGGGACGGUUGGGGUUCUUCGUAUUCAAUUGUCAGAGGUGAAAUUCUUGGAUUUAUGGAAGACGAACUGCUGCGAAAGCGUCGAACAAGGACGUUCNCAUUA
rnacentral:rRNA from 1 species